CCUACGGGAGGCAGCAGUGGGGAAUAUUGCACAAUGGGGGGAACCCUGAUGCAGCAACGCCGCGUGAGUGAAGAAGGAUUUCGGUAUGUAAAGCUCUAUCAGCAGGGAAGAAGAUGACGGUACCUGAGUAAGAAGACCCGGCUAACGAAGUGCCAGCAGCCGCGGUAAGACGCAGGGGGCAAGCGUUAUCCGGAUUUACUGGGUGUAAAGGGAGCGUAGAAGGCGAGGCAAGUCUGGAGUGAAAGCCCGGGGCUCAACCCCGGGACUGCUUUGGACACUGCCUGGCUGGAGUGCUGGAGAGGCAAGCGGACUUCCUUGUGUAGCCGUGUACUGCGUAGAUAUUAGGACGAACACCAGUGGCGAAGGCGGCUUGCUGGACAGUAACUGCCGUUGAGGCUCG
rnacentral:rRNA from 1 species